UCUUUAAGAGCCUAUGAUCUAUUUCAUCCCCACACCCUAAGGUAUGCCUACUGUCUCAUGGAUAGACAAAUAUGAGAGUCGAGCUAGACUGCUCGAUCGCACCUCCAUCAUGGGUUGUGUCCACUCUAACCAAAGACCUGCUCGGGGAAGUCUUCUACGGCAAUAGAAACUUUACUCUAUGAUGCCAUCUCUCAUCCUCCUGAGUCUCUCAUCUAGUGUCCGAUCCACCUCCACUUA
rnacentral:lncRNA from 1 species